GUUAAUGUAGCUUAUUAAACUUAAAGCAAGGCACUGAAAAUGCCUAGAAGAGUCACAAGACUCCAUAAACA
rnacentral:tRNA from 1 species